rnacentral:rRNA from 1 species
GAUGAACGCUGGCGGCGUGCCUAAUACAUGCAAGUCGAGCGAACAGAUGAGGAGCUUGCUCCUCUGACGUUAGCGGCGGACGGGUGGGUAACACGUGGAUAACCUACCUAUAAGACUGGGAUAACUUCGGGAAACCGGAGCUAAUACCGGAUAAUAUAUUGAACCGCAUGGUUCAAUAGUGAAAGACGGUUUUGCUGUCACUUAUAGAUGGAUCCGCGCCGCAUUAGCUAGUUGGUAAGGUAACGGCUUACCAAGGCAACGAUGCGUAGCCGACCUGAGAGGGUGAUCGGCCACACUGGAACUGAGACGCGGUCCAGACUCCGACGGGAGGCAGCAGUAGGGAAUCUUCCGAGAUGGGCGAAAGCCUGACGGAGCAACGCCGCGUGAGUGAUGAAGGUCUUCGGAUCGUAAAACUCUGUUAUGAGGGAAGAACAAAUGUGUAAGUAACUAUGCACGUCUUGACGGUACCUAAUCAGAAAGCCACGGCUAACUACGUG